AAUGAAAUGCCUGAUAAAAGGAUUAUUUUGAUAGAAUAAAUCAUGUACCUUGUACUUUCAUUA
rnacentral:tRNA from 2 species